GACGAACGCUGGCGGCGUGCUUAGCACAUGCAAGUCGAACGGAAAGGCCCUGCUUUUGUGGGGUGCUCGAGUGGCGAACGGGUGAGUAACACGUGAGUAACCUGCCCUUGACUUUGGGAUAACUUCAGGAAACUGGGGCUAAUACCGGAUAGGAGCUCCUGCUGCAUGGUGGGGGUUGGAAAGUUUCGGCGGUUGGGGAUGGACUCGCGGCUUAUCAGCUUGUUGGUGGGGUAGUGGCUUACCAAGGCUUUGACGGGUAGCCGGCCUGAGAGGGUGACCGGCCACAUUGGGACUGAGAUACGGCCCAGACUCCAACGGGAGGCAGCAGUGGGGAAUAUUGCACAAUGGGCGGAAGCCUGAUGCAGCAACGCCGCGUGCGGGAUGACGGCCUUCGGGUUGUAAACCGCUUUCGCCUGUGACGAAGCGUGAGUGACGGUAAUGGGUAAAGAAGCACCGGCUAACUACGUG
rnacentral:rRNA from 1 species